rnacentral:rRNA from 1 species
CCUACGGGAAGCAGCAGUGGGGAAUCUUGCGCAAUGGGCGAAAGCCUGACGCAGCGACGCCGCGUGAGGGAUGAAGGUCUUCGGAUCGUAAACCUCUGUCAGCAGGGACGAACGGUCGCUGUGCUAAUUAGCCUUGAAUUGACGGUACCUGCAAAGGAAGCACCGGCUAACUCCGUGCCAGCAGCCGCGGUAAUACGUAGGGGGCGAGCGUGAACCGGAAUUACUGGGCGUAAAGCGCUCGUAGGCGGUAUUUCAAGUCAAGUGUGAAAGCCCCGCGCUCAACGGGGGCAUUGCAUUUGAAACUGGCGAACGUGAGGGGACGAGAGGAUAGUGGAAUUCCAGGUGUAGGAGUGAAAUGCGUAGAUAUCUGGAGGAACACCAGGGGCGAAGGCGACUAUCUGGCACAUAACUGACGCUGAGGAGCGAAAGCGUGGGUAGCAAACAGGAUUAGAUACCCUUGUAGUC